rnacentral:tRNA from 1 species
CGGGGUAUAGCUCAGCAGGUAGUAGCAGCGGACUUUUAAUCCGUAGGUCGUUGGUUCAAACCCAACUACCCCGACCA